rnacentral:lncRNA from 1 species
UUUAAUCAAUAAAGUCUAGCUGGGUUCGCUCAAAAAAAAAAAAAAAAAANNNNNNNNNNNNNNNNNNNNNNNNNNNNNNNNNNNNNNNNNNNNNNNNNNNNNNNNNNNNNNNNNNNNNNNNNNNNNNNNNNNNNNNNNNNNNNNNNNNNNNNNNNNNNNNNNNNNNNNNNNNNNNNNNNNNNNNNNNNNNNNNNNNNNNNNNNNNNNNNNNNNNNNNNNNNNNNNNNNNNNNNNNNNNNNNNNNNNNNNNNNNNNNNNNNNNNNNNNNNNNNNNNNNNNNNNNNNNNNNNNNNNNNNNNNNNNNNNNNNNNNNNNNNNNAAAAAAAAAAAAAAAAAACCCAAAGAGUCUUGGCCCCGCCUCGCGGGAGCCAUGGCCACGCCCCACGCGCUCGGCCGCCGCUCGCCUGGAUCCCUCCGGUAGGUCAUCCCCCACUCACUCGCCCCCCUUUCCCUUGGCCUACUACUAGCCUUCAGCCCUUUUCCGUAGCACGCACAUCUGACCCGUCAGCCGCCUUGGGUUUCGUCGGGCGCUUCGGUGUGGCCUGGCCAUGGCGCUGCCAUAGGUCUGGGUUGGGGGUGGGGUAAGUGAGCGCAUGGUUCCACUCCACCGGUGCAGAGACCAUGGUUCUUUGGUCUUCGGUUUCUAUUUGUUCAUGGGCGAUUGGAUUUAUACCGUGUUACAUUACAUUUUCUUCCACGUUUAAUCAGCUAUGCUACUAUUGCUAGCUCCUGCUUGCCCACAAUGGGCUCUCUAGUCUCAACAUGCCCCAUUUUUCUUCCACAAUAUCUUGAGAUUUUAUGCAUAUCUCGUUUAUAUAUCCAGCAGUAUGCACCAGACGAAGUAAUUGAACAAUUUGUUUAAUUGUUUUGAUUACGUUAUAACGGCCAAUUCUUCAUCAUUCUGCUGAUUGCGGUGAGGAAUUUUCUCAACAACCUUGUGUCGUGAGUUUGUGACUCAUGACCUGGUGACGAAAAGUAGAGGCAAUCAUAGUUGGAAACCUGAGGCUGCCAUUACAAUUUGUAUUUUUGUGUGUUACAUACAAGCAUUGCCUUGAGUUUCCUUUAUACGCCUCCUCUUUUCCUACAUGCUAAUAAACUCUUCUGGUUUUCCAAAAGUCCGAGACUAUGUUGGCCUCUUCAUCACCUGCUGCAAUGCAACCCACGUUCAUAUCAUCUCAAUCAGGAUAUAGCAGAGCAAAUGCAGCACUGCCUCCUUUUCCAGGCUCAGAAGGUGAACUCUCCUGUCUGUAUGUACAUGCUUGACUUUCCAGAUUACAACCAUGGAAGAUUCAUCCUUAUGGCGACGAUACAUCAUCAUUGUUGAAACUGUAUGGCGCGGCGCUCGAGUAGCCCGUGCUCGUGCUGCUGACCUGGGCAGCUUCAUACUCCUGUCCAAGAGUCCGCAGCCUGUUCAACUCUGGCAAGAUUUCUUUCCCGAGAUCUGGCCGGUCCUUCUUCCGUAGCUCCGCACAUUUCAAAGCCAGCUGCGUGAACACCAGGGCCUCUUCCACUGGCCAGUCUGUCACCGUCGGGUCAAGUACCUCCUGGAAAGCCCCUUUCUCUAUGGCAUGCUCGACUUGGUGCGUGAGGCCCAUGGGGGACCUGGCUGUGACGAUCUGGAGCAGCAGGAUGCCGAACGAGUAUAUGUCGGACUUGGUGGUCAGCAUGCCCGUCUGCUGGUACUCGGGGUCUAUGUAGCAAAAUGUGCCGGCUGUGGACGUCAUCCUGUACUGUGUGACUUCUGCUAUGGACUGUGGCACCAGCCUCGCGAGGCCAACGUCGCUGAUCUUGCUGACGAAGUUGUGGUCGAGGAGGAUGUUGCCAGGCUUCAGGUCUCGGUGCACAAGUGGUUCUGGCUUCGCCUGGUGGAGGAAGAGAAGGCCGGUAGCGAUGUCUGCAGCAAUUCUGAAGCGGAUGUUCCAUGGGAUUGGCUUGGUGUUGCCUCUUCUGCAUAGCCGGUCCUCUAGGCUUCCGUAGUCCAUGUACUCGUACACCAAGCAGCCAUACUCGGGGCAUGCUCCGAGCAACAGGACCAUGUUUGGGUGCCGCAUGCUGCUAAGUAUUUCAAUCUGCAAAGUAUUGAUCAUGGCUUCAUUUGCAUAAGGAAAAUGCUGCUAAAGACUCAAUAGCUAGAUGAGGCCUCCUAAAACAAAUAAAAGAAAACCUGCUUCCUGAUGUCGAACAUAUUUAUUACCAGUAAAAGAGAAGGAAUGCGCUUGGUAUUUAUAUGGCUCAGUAAUAUGUAAGUACUGAAAGCAGCCCUGAAUAGACUGAAAAAUAAUGAAACUAUGACUGCAUAACUAUGAAGGUCUUGGGAUUUGCAAUGCUGUAUUGUAUUUACCUCUUGCUGAAACUGUUUCCUUCCCUGUGAUGCGUCUGGUCUUAGGAUUUUAAUAGCGACAUUGGUAUGAUCCAAUACAGCUUUAUAUACUGGUCCAUAUCCACCUUCGCCUAUCUUGAGUGCCCUGUCAAACUUAUGCGUGGCAGCCUCUAUAUCAUCGAUGGAAUACCUUCUGUACCGGAGAUCCGUCUCCGAUGCUCUCCUUCUCUCCUCGAACUCGCGCUUUGCCUUCCAUUCUGCUCUCAAUCUCUUCUGCGCCUCGAGCUCUGCAAUUUUUUGGGCAGCUUCUGCUGCCUCCAGUGCAGCUUUGCACUUUGCCUUCUCCAUUUCAACAAGUGCAAGAGCUUCUUCUUCUGAACUCCUUAGUUCUUGGUACAAUUUAGACUCUUCCACCUUCAUCUGGGACAGCUGAGCUGCCUGCAGUUAUAUUAUUUAUUUCAUUAUAUCAAGAGAGUUUGGUCGGUUUAGGAACUGCUUGACGUUAUACUCAGGUCCAUCUAUUUACAUGUAUAAACAGUACCUUCUGUUUGGCGUCAAGUGCUUCCUUACAUGCGGAGUUAUACAUUUCCAUUGUCUGCUUCAGCUCUAGUCUCAGUCGUCUCAUCUCAGCUUCUACAUCCUUCUGCAUUCAAGCGAAGCAAAAUAUGAAUUCAUGACCCAGUACCAAACAACUUCAAAUCAAUGUCCAGCUUGCAAAGUUUUGAUCCACUGUAGCGACUUAAUGGUUACAAUGCUCUUACCCCGGCUGAACUUAGGCUUUCCAAGGAUGCAUAUGAUGAUAGUUCCAGAGAUUCAGCAUAAUCCACAGAAUUUAACUCCAUGCUCAUGGGAAAAUCAACGUCAUCUGAAAAGGAGCUGCGAGUCACGGAGGGCCUUGGUGGUGCAAUGAAGUCGAUGUAGUCGUCGAAAUCCUUUUGAGGUGCUUGCCUUCCAGAGAGGAGAUGCCUAUCUCUUGUUGGGACCUUUGCGUAGCCAGAUAACCGGUCUACUGAUGUUCUACUUGUCCUCGGUGACGAUGGGUUAGAAAACUUUCUCCAUUCUCUUGAUGAUCUAUUGUACAAAAUGAGAUAUUGCUUAUACUAGGUAUUUAAUUAAAAAACAUAUGCUAACUACUGAAGGUAACCAUAGUGACCAACUGACCAUCUAACCAGUAAAUGACAUGUUAUUUUCUAACCGUAAACUGAAUUUCCGCUAACCAUGUAGGUUCAGGAACAUGCAAUGUAUUUAUUGGAGUGCUAUCUGUGUUCUUCACAAACUUACCUUGCGAAUGCAUCGGGUUCGAUGUUUGGUUGGGAGUUUUGCUUCGGAGGGAGAGUACUAAAGGGUGCUGGAGCUUUGGCUGCCUUCACUUGGACGACCUUCCCUUUGUGUAUAACAUGCACUGUGCAAUAAUCAGGCGCCAUCUUCAUCAAGCAUGUUGGCACAUCAGGAUUUCUAAAUCUUCUGCAUGGUGUAAAGUCCAUGCCUGUGUUCAGUAUAGGUAUAUAUCAAAGGUAUGUAAUGGUGCAUGACCAUCAAGUAUGGAUGAGUAGGCACCUGAUGAAUGUGUUCCUAGAGGAUGCUCCAACUACGAUAUCUGUGAUGGCAUGACCAGUAGCAUAAUCAAUUAUUGCUUUGGAGAUAUCACUGCCAUCCAAAAUCACCUCAUUCAGAUGCAUCUGCGAUUUGCAGUGGCAGUAUAUGUGAGUAUUACUUGUAUUAUUUUGAUUCUAUUUGCUUCGUCUUGUUAUUAUUAUUGUUAUUAUCCUCCUGCCGUAGUACCAAAACCUUAUAUUUCAAGAAUCCUUGGUAUGUAUCAGCUAUUGUAGAUGGUGCACUCUAUUUUUUUGUCUGCUCUGCUAUAGUGGCAUGCCAAUUUGAGCUAACAUCUACCAAUAUGCGAGAAGGCAGUGUUCUAGUAUUCAAUUGACACUCACCCCUUUACGAGCACAGUAGCCUCUGUAUGAGAUAAACAGUUGUGACAUCUCUGCAUCUGUGUCAACUCCGCGGCCUGCUUCCCCUGUAAUGUGGCCAUACCAAGAUAAAGUAGAGUAAGUGUUGAGAAGUUAAACCAUGUUAUAUAGGGGAAUAAAAUCUUUACUGGUCGCCUUAUGUAAUCAAUAGCUGUGGGGACUAGUGAAUAUGCACAAGUGUUAGUGUGUUACAACUAUGCAGUAAGUCAAAUUCAUUUUAGAACAAAAGCAAUCUGCAUCAUCCUACAAGGCGAUGCGCCUUUUCUCGUGUCUGGUAUAUUUUCCUACAAAACCGCUGUAAAAUGUGAUGGUGUAGCAUUAUCUGUUCAUCACAUGAUGACAUUAUGCACAUAACAUUGUCACAGUUCGUUUGUCGUCUAUAAAGUUAUUUCUACCUCAUCGCCAAACCUGGUAAUUUUAGGUAAAUUGGUCUGCUGUGAUGGUGAAGAGAUUACGAAAAUAAGGGUGGAAACUGAAGACCAUGGCGGUCAUAACUUGAGCCAGCCUGAUUUGGUCGGAGUCCAGAUGUAGGAAAAGGUCUCUUCUGACUUCCAUUCUUUCUUUCAUGCAGAUACCUCUUAUAGAGCAUAAAGAGACCGAGAAAUGUACCAACCGGUCUGGGUACUUUGGUUGGCCCUGACAUGGACCAACUGGAGGGUGCUCCCCCUGGCCAUGAGCCGGUCCACCGCCCAUUUCGCCGCCUGCUGGCUAUUCUUGUCCCGGUCGACGGCCACGAUGGUCGAGCUGUCCUUCCCGGCCUCGGGCUCCCCACUAUGCGACACUGUCGAGAAUGCCGAGAGGUACAUUUCUCAGCUCUCCGACCGACCAACGAAACAACCGACGGGAGGGAGAGGGAGAGGGAGACAAAAGGGGAAUUUUGUCCCUCUUCCUCCCCCUUUGCUUAUUUCUCCUGCCCUACCCUGCCCUGCCUUGGCCGGGGUCUCCUCGUCCCUUGCUGUCGCGACCAAAGCCGGCCGAAGCCUGCAAUGUUUGUUUUAGGGAGCUUAUGUUGUUUUUGCCAAGUUUGGACGCAGUGUGGUUGUGAGGGUUUUCUUAAUUUUCUGUGGCUCCUGUUUCCCCGGCUCUUAAGUAAGGGGUGUAGGCGGGAGGACCACCUGUUCAAUGAUGCCCACCUUUUUCCUUGUUUCUAAAAAUAGCAGCAGGUGACAGACAGACAGGGAUGUCGCUAGGCGCUUGCUGAGUUUCCUUUCUGAAUCUCUUGCGCAAAUUUUGCUACUGUGUAACUAACAAAUCUGCAGCCCUGUUAUAGUUUCGGUUUAACUAGCAAAAAAUCCGUGCAUUGCAAAGGGAAAUAUAAUUGAAGAUCUUAAAGAAAUAAACUCAUUAACGAUUAAUAUAUAAAUACAACAUAAAAAAUAUGUUGAUAUUUUAGCCGCGUUCAUAUUUUCUAUCCCUACAAAGCAACAUUUGUAUGUGAUCGUGUGCACCCUCAACUGUUUAAACGACAAUCAAAUCCAUUUUUUAUCAGUAGCCUCACACAAGCCUUCCUUAUUAAUCCCACCCGUUUGAAUCCUCCUUAUAUUAAGGAUUACAAUCCUUCUCAACCAUUUUCAAAUAUUCAGUCCAUAAUCAAAUACUUCCUUUUAAAUAUUAGCUACACAUAAUCCUUUCUUACCUUAUUAAAGGAUCCCAUGCAUUUAAAUAUUCUGCCAAGCCGACCACAAUCCUUCCUUGCCUUAUUAAGGAUCCCAUCCAUUCAAAUAUUCUGCCGAGCCCACACAAUCCUUCCUUUGAAUUAGUAUUUUAUUUAUAGCGUAGCACUUCCUUCUUAGAAACGGGACAUGCACCUCCUCACAUGUGUUUAAUUCCCAAGCAGUUCGUCCAUUGUCUAUUUGCUGACAUAUAUAAAUUGGUGUAAUUUUGUGCAAAACGGCGAGGUGGUACUAUUGAGUAAUACGAGCGAAAUCUUACCAUGAUGAUAUGCCAUAUGUGGCUUAUCCCACCAAGCUCCAGCAC